GAAGUGUUAAAGAAAUGUGUAGCAGACUAUCAAGCCAAGUUGAAAAAGUCAGAACAAAAGUUACAGUUGUUAAAACAGCAAGCAGAAGAAAAGUUAGACCAUGCUAACUUGGAGAUUGAACAGGAGAGGAGGGGCCACAUGUCGGAGAUGGCACGGCUACAGGCUGGCCUCAAGAAAGCUGAGCUACAGAUAUCAAGUCUGGAGAAAAGCUUAGAACAAAAGGUUAAGGAGAAUCAGGAAUUGACAGCAAUUUGUGAUGAGCUGAUUUCUAAAGUUGGUGUUGAGUAGCUUCAUCCAUGACAAUCUCAAUGAGAGAUGCAAUCAAACCACAGGGUGCUGCUGUAUGGAGGCAGGCUAUCAUAUCACACGUAGAUCACAUACUGUUGGCAGUACUUAAUCACAGUCAGUUGGGAGAAUCAUUUACAGACAGGAUCUACAUCAACGGAGUUCAUUGUUAUCUUCUUCAGCCAUAUCUACUUCGGAUCUCAUCCACUUGAAGGAGAAACAUCUGUCUUUAUUGAGACAUUUAUAUGAGAAAACAGUGUUGUCUGGCUGCGAGAUCAUGUAUGUCGCUCCAUAUACCUAUAGUGUGUACUAAUUCUUCAGGAAACAUCAAAGUGUGCAACUGCUUUUUUACCCAGUAUGGCCAUGGAAGCAUGGAUGUUUAAACAGAUACUUUGUGAAGAAUUCUCAACCAGUGGCUUGAUUUUGAACAUCGCUCUUGUAGAGUCAUCACUGCAUUUUAUGAAAAGGUCAUAAAAAUCAUAUGGCAAUUAUGUGAAUUACUGCUUACCCAGGAUGGGAUCUAGAAGGGCAGCUAUGGUCAUUGCUUGUACUUUAGGAGUGAUGGUUGGUGACACAUGUGGUCGACAGACAACAAGACAGUUGUCGCCUUGCUUUCGAUGAAGGAGUGAUGGCUGGUGGCACUUGUUGCCGACAGACAACAAAACAGUUCUCGCCUUGCUCUCACUGAAGGAGUGAUGGUUGGUGGGACAUGUGGCAGACAGACAACAAAUCAGUUCUCGCCUUGCUCUCACUGAAGGAGUGAUGGCUGGUGGGACAUGUGGCAGAUAGACAACAAAACUGUUCUCGCCUU